UACGUAGGGGGCUAGCGUUGUCCGGAUUUAUUGGGCGUAAAGAGCGUGUAGGCGGCCAGGUAGGUCUGCUGUGAAAACUCGAGGCUCAACCUCGAGACGUCGGCGGAAACCAUCUGGCUAGAGUCCGGAAGAGGAGAGUGGAAUUCCUGGUGUAGCGGUGAAAUGCGCAGAUAUCAGGAAGAACACCCGUGGCGAAGGCGGCUCUCUGGGCCACUACUGACGCUGAGAAGCGAAAGCGUGGGGAGCGAACAGG
rnacentral:rRNA from 1 species